rnacentral:rRNA from 1 species
AAUCAAUCUUUUCCCCACAGCCAGAUGGUGGCGACUAGAUGGCGAUCUCCCCAGGGGGCUCCUCGGCUCCUACCGCUGGUGUGCUCACCUCCGACGCUCUUCGGAUCAAGCACAACCAACGAUCCAACAGCUUAUCCGGGUACGCGCCUCUGACAGCUCUCCUCCUCUUCGCCAUUUCGAUCCCCUUGCCGGUGGGCUCCUUCGGCACCACCGCCGGUGUCCUCGCCUCCCACUGCUCUCCCAGUGAGGUACGACUUCUGCUCCGCCUCACCCGUAGUGUUGAUUUUCCUUUUGUCGUCACCUGGUCGAAGCUAGCUCCCGCCCAGGAGGCUAUCUUCCUUUUCGGUCUGGAAGGAACUGGCCAGUAAGAGCCUCAGGCAUGGCAUGGCAUGGACGUUCACAGGCACUGCUCAGAUAAGUGCUGGGUCGAUCAACGACGAAUUUGUCUUGCCCCAACCGCGACCUUCUGCUAUGGAGAUGAUCAUUUUCCUGCAAGCUGACCUUUUGUAAUGAGGGUAAGCUGUCAUGGUCAUUUAGUGCAUCAUUCUGUUAGUCAUGGGCGUGCGGGCAAGGACAUCCAGUUUCAGACUACAUCGAUGACUUCUGCAAUUUGAAGGUCAUGUACUCUAUUCUCUUCAGUAUUUUUUUUGCGAGUCUCUUAUAAAAGAAAUACCACAGUAUUCCACCAUAUGAAGACCACACCUCUUCAGCCCUUAUGCAGCAACCUGCUCCAACCGUCCCAUACUGUUUAUCUUCCUGCCGUUUACAGCCGCCGAACGACCUGAUUCUCCUAACAAGAAAAAACAUAUGGUGUAGCCUGCAGGUACCAAAUAAUUGGCGUUUGACACUCAUCUCCUAAUCUUCGCGAUGGCGUUCCACUUCCUGCCCCCAUGUUCUCCACAAGAAACUGCUGGACGAUCUUUUAAAGUCUCUGCUCAGCCUCGCCUCAUUGUGCUCCGAUCGUCAGCAUGGGUGGGUGUUUGCCACACCACUCAUAUUGCCGCGGAUGACUUUUUAAUAUAUGUUGGCAAGGUCCGAGUAAAAUGGAAGCAGAUUAAUUGCAGUUUGAAAGUAAUUCCGGAUUUUUUUCCAUUGUCUAUCAACAAGUUGUUUGAUGAAAACCAAGGCAGGCCAGCGAUCUUCCUUAAGUCUUAUUCCAGCUAAUCUACGGUUAUCUUCUUCUUACGUUCAUGUACUAGGUCAUCUCUCUUUUGUAUAACCUAUACAUGUACCAUGUAUCUCCUUCACAUUAACAUAAUAGGUCAGUUUUGAACAAAGAUUGAAGUGUGCAUGCAGCCUUGCAAAACAUGGUGUUUUUUUUGUAUGUACAGUCUGCUCGGACAGUAGUUUUUUUUUUCUAUUGUCCUGGUUGUAUGUUGUAGAUAUACUUACAGCCAAGGAUCUGGAGUGAAUCCUGCCAUGCAAAAUAUUAUGCAUAUUAAAUUGAUUUGUAAGUAUAGAAUUUUGUUAUCCC